CAGGGUCUCCAGUGCAGUUCCACCAAGAUUAAAUGAGAAGGUGCCCUCUGCUUGGGUUAAGCUGUGGCCAUGGAUUUGCAUCACAGGUUGCAGCAGAGGGUUUGGAUGCUCUUCGCCUGUGCCUUCAAGAAGAACCCCGGGCUUCGUUUAUGCUCACUGCUAGGUUCUAGUAUGACACCCCAAUUUUCCACUGAACUCUUCCUGCUCACGCUGAGAAGCUUGGAUAUGAUUUGGCCUCUUGUUUUUAUAAUAAGCUGUUGUUGAGGAAGCAGCUUUGACAAUAGAAGUAACCAACUAGCAGGUCCAUGUCCACUGUUGAAAUCAGCUGGAGACUCAUCGCUGCUGACAACAGUGCAUGUCCAUCAGCUGACGUGGCAGCAGUGUGACCAGCACGGGUAGAGCAAGACCGCUUCACAGCUGGAAGCCACCGUAAGAAGCCCCUGGCUUCUAGGUGGUCUUAACUAUCUACUAAUCACAAAUGGAAUUCCAGGGAAGAUUCUAUAAAAGUCCUCACCUUGAAAUGCUUUAUCAUCCUAAGAAGUUUGGACUUCAUCCUGAAAGCAAGUAAAUGAUGAAUGAGACAGUUCUAGUUGCAAUAUGAAGAAUGGAGUGAACAGAAUAAUGCUGGAGACAUUGACACAAAUUAGGCCCAUAGGCGUACUGCCUCCUGGACUGGGUCAGACAGUCACAGAACACAGGCUUCAAACUGCCUUUCACACCAUUCUUGUUGGAAAUAGAACCACUGGAGGCUCAUCGUGUUACCUUCGGCAAAAAUGGAAGCCAAUCAAGACAUUGAGAAUGCCAGUGGUCAGCCAUUCAUUAACAAGGCUUUGUAAAGGAAGUCUCCCGAACAGUGUGCCUCACUUGCCUCAACAGUAGUUGAACCUGCCUCAACGGCUCCUUAAUCAAUACAGCCCCUCCAAAUGGAUGUGGACUGAGAUGUACAUUACCUUUCGAGUUAACUGAGUGCUUACUAUGUAUGACUCACUGUAAAAAAGAAGGGAGAGAGAAUGGCAGGACAAAUAAGGUAUGGGACCAACCUUUAGGGAAGCUACAGUUAGUUUUAGGAUGCAUAUUUCUUUCUUCUGCUUGUAAUUAAAAUUUUCUCUAAUCCAAGAAACAAAUGAAUGGGAAAGCAUAUUCUGUAAAUAUUUUAAGCUUCAUUAAUGAGAAACAAAAUAGACCAAAGCACAACAACAGCAGAACAAUCUGGGAAAUUCAAGACAUUUUAAUCCUUUAUUCUUUUAUUGUAUUAUUUUAUAGUGCUGAAAUAAAGUCUAUUUUAUUUUUUCUUUAAAUACUUGGUAAACUCUAGAGACAAUGCUUUGAGUUAAUUUGAAUUCAAUUCCACUUUUUCUUCUAAGUGUAAGUUGUCUGCUGGAAAGCACAUAUUGUUUAUACAAUUCUCAGGGUGUUGGGUGGUGAGUUACACCUGUUAUCUCUACAGGCAUCUACCUUCUGUGUCCUCAAGAUCACUAUUCUGAGUGAGAUCCCAGUGAGGAGAAGAGGGAGAUUUAGAUAAAACUGGGGGGUUUCGGCUCACAGGUCCAAGACUGGACAGAGAGCAUCAAAACCUCUGGCAAAGAAUCUUGAAAAUCUGGCUGAGCAAUUUUUAAAAGUAUUUAUCUGUUGACUCCCAUAGCUUGAAUCACUAUACAGUUUUCCUAAAGGUUUGUAUCUGAGUUGAGAAUGAGUCAUUACUUUUCCAGUGUUAAGACACUGAUGUCACCAGAGACACUGGACAUCUCCGGCCGUGUCGUGUCUGUGACCUAUUUCAAUAAGGAUGAGCCAACAACAGCAUCUUUGUCGUGAGUAGUGUCCAUGUGAUUGAAAAUGUGCCAACUCUUUUUAAAACAUCAUCAACAGACUUCUUAAUUAAGCUGCCAAUACCACUGUCAAUACCACUGUGUGCUGUUUGAGGACUGAAUAGUGUUGCUUGUGCCUUGUUAAAUAAACAGUGCUUCCCUAUA